GUGCGAGAUUCUCCUGAGGUGGAACGAACGGCUCUCGAGCGCCGGUGUUCUCUGCCAGCAGCCCUUCCUCGCCGGCCGGCGCUUCCGCUGCAGAGUUUUGCCCAAGCUUCGAGACUUAGGGAACAGUGCCUUUCAGAAUUUGGCUAUUCAUCUGGUAUAACUAUUUCUGAUGGCUGGGAAUAAAGGAAGAGGACGUGCUGCUUAUACCUUUAAUAUUGAGGCUGUUGGAUUUACCAAAGGUGAAAAGUUACCUGAUGUAGUGUUGAAACCACCCCCACUAUUUCCUGAUGCAGAUUAUAAACCAGUGCCACUGAAAACAGGAGAAGGUGAAGAAUAUAUGCUGGCUUUGAAACAGGAGUUGAGAGAAACAAUGAAAAGAAUGCCUUAUUUUAUUGAAACACCUGAAGAAAGACAAGAUAUUGAAAGGUAUAGUAAAAGAUACAUGAAGGUGUACAAGGAAGAAUGGAUACCAGAUUGGAGAAGACUUCCAAGAGAGAUGAUGCCAAGAAAUAAAUGUAAAAAAGCAGGCCCAAAACCCAAAAAGGCAAAAGACGCAGGGAAAGGCACAUCACUCACUAAUACUGCAGAUGUGUUGAAAAAAAUUGAGGAAUUGGAAAAAAGAGACGAUGGUGAAAAAUCAGAUGAGGAAAAUGAAGAUAAAGAAGGAAGCAAAGAGAAAAGUAAAGAAGGUGAUGAUGACGAUGAUGAUGAUGCUGCAGAACAGGAGGAAUAUGAUGAAGAAGAGCAAGAAGAGGAAAAUGACUACAUUAAUUCAUACUUUGAAGAUGGAGAUGAUUUUGGCGCAGACAGUGAUGACAACAUGGAUGAAGCAACCUAUUAGGCAUGAAAUUUUUCAAAAAAUAUUUUUAUGACGCAGCUUCUGAACAUUUGGACAGACUUGAUUUGUAUUUUGUCUCUGAUAAGGAACAAGUAUUUAUUUUUGUUUUGUUUUGUUUUGGACAAAUAUUUGUUACCAAAAUAUUCAAAACCACUUUGAGUUUACAUACUAGUUACCUUACAAAUUAGUCCCUGACAUUCUGACAUUCCUUCUAAACACCUCUGCCAUCUCUCUUACGUACUCUCUUGGAUUUUUUUUUUUAUUUGAAUAUGAAUGUGCCUAAAGAAUUUUUGCUCUCUUAAUCUAUGUAUAUGUACUUGAAGAAAUCAUUCUUGCUUAACUGCUGAUCUUUUGUAAAACUACUGCUAGUCAUAAUGGAUUUCUAUAACCUGAAAGUUGAUACAAUACAGCACAUGGAGCACUUUAAAAACAAAGAAACUUGAAAAUAAUUUUAUUUUUUACCUUUACAUGGUGUGUUCUAGACUACUGCAUUAUGACUAUAUAAACCUACCUGAGCUCUUAAAAGUACAGAAUUGUGAGAUAGAGGUUUUGUGAUAGAAAACAUACACACAGGGAAAAAUACCAAACUGAGCAAUAUAAAUUUCACCACUCACUCUUAGCCAGUAUAAAGAAACUCUCACAUGGGGUCAAUAUUAUAAAUACUUGAAUUGGGACUAAAUACUGUAUGAUACAUGAAUUAAUCAUCCCACUGUAAUAACUGACAUCUUCAAAUAGUUGGGCUUAUGAAAAAUUUGACUAAGACAUUUUAUUUAAUUUUAUAUUUUAUAAAAUGUGAAGUUCUGGUCAUAUAAAUAUCAUGUAGAAUGCAUGUGUGUGAACUCUAUGAAGUGUGGUGGCCUUUUAUGUUUCAGAGUACUCAAGCUGUACAAUUGAUUUAUAUAAAAACGCAAAAUGAACUCAGGUCAUUUUGAAGUUAAGAUUAAUUUUUUUGUUGUUUCAAGCUAGCUCUCCUAACUUUAUAUUUUGGGAAAAAUUACCUAAAAACCUCAGCCUACAAAGACUCUCACAAAUGCCAAAGAUUUUCAAGGAAAUUCAUAUUAUAUAUUUCAAAAAUGAUUUAUCAAUGUUAUCUACCAAAAGAAAUAAUUUUAUUUUUCCCUUUUGGGAAGAUAUUACUAUCCUCUAAUGUUAGAAUCAGAUCCCUAGAUUCUGUUUCUACCUGUACUAUUAAACUCAACCUUGAACCUAAGCUUGGUUGUUUCUGUGCCUUAGUUUCUCCACUCGUAAACAAUUUCCUAUAAAAAUUGUUUAAACACCAACCAAAAUUUACCAUAUGUAUUCAUUCUCUUGCCUUAAAGAUCAGUUCUUAAUUUACAUUUGGCCGUCACCCUCUAAAAAUUUGUAGUUUGGAGAGUAACUGAAAACAAUUUUAAGAAACAUUUUAAGAAACACAAUUUUAAGAAACAUUAUUUUCCUCACAAAAUAUAAUCUUAUUUUCCUAUCUUGUAUUCAUGCAGAAAAUUGGAGAAAAUGUGUAUUGUCUUGUGCCAUUUUGCACCAUGAAUUUCUCAGGAAAAAGAUCACUUUCAAUGGCAAUACUUUCUUAAAUAAUUCAAGAUGGGUGUGAGGACCUAUCUUAUUAGUUUAGAGCUGUGUUAACCAUUUGUGAAUUACUUCUUGUUUAAAGGAAGUUGUCAAAAAAUUUUUAAGAUUCUAAAUGGAAUAUAUGAAUAAAGCAAGCCGUAGAAUAGAAACUUCACAAAAAGUUGUCAUUUGUGGUUGACAAUUAACAUAGGUGUUUUAUUCUUUCAACUCCUUAGUACCAGAGCCAAAUACCAUUUAGUUCUCAGAAAUCUUAUCAAUAUUGUUCUGUUUACCUACUUAUUAUAAAUCUGCAGAUAACCACUUGAACCAGGCAAAUACACUGAAGAUAAAGGUUAUUUCUUUUUUUAGCUUUGAAUUUGUCAUGACCAUUUUAGUCUUGCAGAUAGCAGGGCAGCCCCUUGGGGCAAGGAUUUACUCUGGGAGGUACCAGCCAUACCCUUUCAGAGCCUUUCCCCCUUUGAAAGAUCUUUUUACAAUGUUAAGGUAUAGUAGUUGUGAGAACAAGCAGGAUUUGCAGGUUGCUUUACCAGCAUGAAUCUCAUUUUUCUGGCUUAAAAUCUGAGACUGUGAAAUUAUUCCAUAGGAAAGUUAAUGUUAUUUUGCAGAAUUAGCCUGUUACAUAAAAGAAUUUGUUGAAGUGUCUUUAAAAAUUGCUAUCAUGAGCAAAACUGGUUGCUGUAAUGCUUAUUUUUCUGUAUUUAUUUACACCUUAAAUUCUUACAAAACAAAAUUGUGUUCAUUUUAUAGUAAGAUAUUUUGUUUUGAACUUAUUUAAAUGUUUAUUUGGUAGAGAAAACUAAUUUGUUAAUACAGAUCUUACCUAGUAACUAUCAAGCAGGGAUGCUUGUUCCAAAUAUUCUUGAAUAAACAAUCACCAC